AAAUCUCGAACAAUCGGAGCGGCAUUUGUUUAAUCUAAGUUACAACGUUACGGUAUUUCCGCAAAUCCAAGGAGGGGUUCCGGUGUUCUUUCAUCUCCGACAUAUACAUAUAUACAUAUAUACGUAAGUAUAGAUGUGUACACAUGUAGCAAUUAUUACUAUUAUUAAUAUUAUUAUUGUAUAAUUCUUAUCGUUACGAUCAAUGACUAUUUGAAUGUGUGGAGAAAAUUUGACUAAGAGUACGUAGUCGGUGAAUAUGUACUAAUUAAUUUGUAUUUGAAUCGAAAUUUUGUACGUUUUAUCUCCCUUAUUUUUGGAGCGAACCCCACGUUGACUUGUUGAUUCUAUUAUUAUUGUUAUUUCGCAUUACGUAACGCUGUUUGAUACCCUAUUGAAGUGAAAUAUAUUAGAACUUAUUUCUUAACGGAAAAAUGCUUUUGUCUUUAAUUGAAUUACCUGAUAAUAACGAAAUUUGUAAAAUCGAAAUACGGUUUACCGUUUCAGAGAGAUAGCAAUGCGAUACUUUUUAAAAUUAAUUUUGUACGCGUAUAUAAAUUACCUGGGGAUAAUUAUAUUCUAUAUAUAAACAAAUUUUAUGUACGCAUAAUAACUUUUCACUUGUCUGAUAUAGUUCUUUUUAAAGAUGUUAUUACUUUAAUACCACGGCAGAAUAUUUUCCAAUUAGAAUUUUACGUUACGACCGUUUGAUAUAAUUCGUUUUUAUACGAUGAUUAUGUAUUUAAGAAAAAGGCUAUAUAAUUAAUUUAACUAUACCAAACAUAUUCGUUAAUUAACAAUUAUGUGUCACGUGCAGUAAAAUCGAGGAACUAAAAUGGUAAUAUCAAAAAUGAUAAUGAUAUAGAAUGGCUCUCAUGAUUAUUCGUACAUCCUUUAAAACGGAGUAACUUUUUUAAAAUUAGACAAAACGUCUCGAUCUUUUUCUUAAAAGAUAAAAGGAUUAAUUUACUACAUGUUGUGUAGACAAAUUUUGAAAUAUAGCAAUUGAUCGGAAACGCGAAGAAAAAAAGUAAAAGUCGCUUUUUACAAGCUUCUUACUUAGUUUUGUAAAGAAAAUUUAAACAACACAUGUUGAAGAUUCAUCUAAUCAAAAAAAAAUUCAGUUUUAAAGGGAUUUUGAAUAUUCAUUUAAGCCACUAUAUGUACCUAUAGUUAUAGGUUCCUGUUCUUAAUUCUUACAUUUUUACUAGUAUAAAGAGAUAAUGAUUUUUGAUUACUAAUUAUAUAUGAAGAUAGUUUUUCGAAAUUUCGCGUCCUUUUCUAAUUCAAAAUAAAUUUCAAGAUAUUAUAUGUCUUUUUAGUUUUUUUACAUUGUACGUUCAUAAUAGGCUACGUGUAUCUUCAAUAGUAUUUGCGAACAACAAUGUGUUUAAAACUUGUUUAUGCAUACCUAUGAUCAAAAAUUGUUUCGUUUCAAGCACUAUAAAUAUUAUCGAAAAAUAGCAAUGAAAAAGAUCGUAGAAAAUAGAAUACGUACUAUCCACCGUCGCCAAACUUAAAAUUACUGUGUAAUUUUAUAGGAAAUUCGAGUUAUCAAUCUCAGGGAUUGCACAUUUAUCAAUUUUUUCAUUAUAACCAUGUUACGGUAUAAUUUCAAACUGUAUAAAUAGAUAAUAUUAUUUGAUCAUAUUUAAAUACUUGAUACUUAGGGAAUACACGUGUACAGAAGUCAAAUAGAUUAUUAGCAAAUUAACAAACUUCUAAAUAAAACUUUGACCUAAACUUUUAAUGAUUAUAACAUUUAAUAUAGAUAUAGGAAAUAUAUAGUAUACGUAAAUUUGCCACCACAGACACCCAAAGAAAAAUAAUUUUCCUCAUUGAAUAUUUAUGAAUUUUAUGACGCAUUGUAAAAAGACAUCGUCAACUUUAAAUAAAAUAAAUGUUUGUGAAAUACAGCAGCGGGUGAUGUAAAUACGUACCUCUAUCUGCAAUCUAAAAUAAGCGUAAUAGUCAUGGUUGCUAUUACGUACAAAUUUGGUAGGAUUUUCAAAGUUGAAGAGAACGCUAUCGCGAUAAGUCGUAAGACGGUAGAGUGUGUGACGGCUGGUAAUUUUACAGUCGAAUGAAAGAGCACUUCCUUGCGGCUGGGGUACUGGGGAAAAAAAUGGAAACUGAUGCGGGAGUGUUCAAGCGGCAUCGUAUACGUUGCGUCCUGUCGGCUCGGGCUUGUCCUUUGAGUGAUUUAUGGACAGACUACUGUGACUCCGUCUACUUCACCUAUUCACCUCGUUAGAAAGGAUAAUGUAUUCAUGAACGAUCAGACUCGUUCCGGCGUAAUAUCGUGAGCUUCUAAACUCGACUGCGAAGGUAUACUUAUAACCGAUUGGAACAACCUUUAAAUCGAAUCGGCCUAGAUCUUCCGUGCCUGCUAUUAACCUAAGCGAAAUUGUAAUUUUUCUUCUUUUCAUCAAAUUCAGAUUUCGAUUAAAAAUCGUGGCAGUUACGUUUGUAUGAAACAAAGGGCGAGAAUCUUUGUUUGGAAUUACGCGUAACAGAGAAACUGUUAUAAAGCGUUGUACAUGUUUCAAAUAGGCGAGAAAAAAAAACGAUAUAAAGUUAUUUUUCAAUAAUUAUUUAAAAACAGUACAUCCGUUUCUUUUUUACCUUCGACGGACAUAAGAGGCACGAUAUGCUUUAAUAUGAAAUAUGUAGUUAAUUACUCUCCUGUAUAGGAUAGUUUGAUAAAUAAAUAUUAAUUCUUUUACAGAUUGUUAUCUAUUUUUCUUUUAAGGUCAGGCAUUUUUAACAGUAAUCCUCAACUAUGCACAAUUACGACGAAGUACGUAAAUAAGUAGAAAUAAUUAAUCAAGAGAAUAUUACUUAAGAUUUUCCAUUUUCAUCCACUUCUGUCUUGUUAUGGAAUUUUAUAUCCGUUUUAACAUUGUUAUUUUAUCUACUAUUUUAUCAUUGAAAAGUUUUAUAUUUCGGUAACGCUUAACCAUCUGACGAACAUCGUAUUUAACCACUAUGUUUGACCAAUCGAAUAAGUAUUUCAACAUAAAUAUAAACUAGGGCUAGAGUCGAAUAUAGAAAAAAAAUAACAUUCGUUUGAAAAGCAAAAUUUGUUACGCGUUCGAUAUUAGUUAUCGUAGAUCAGACGGGCGGUGUUUUCUUUUUAUCGUCGAACGAGCGAGCGUUGUUUCCUGUUUGUCAGUGUCUGUCGAUUAGUCGCGUCUAAUAGCUACGCGUAACGUCCCAUUCUGAACGCAACAAGAAAGAGGCUUUGGACGUAACGUAAGGCGAGUGGCUUGUCAAGAGCUUCCUUCCGGCGCUGCAGUAUGUUAGAAAGGCAUGAACGUCGACGAAGGAGACCAAUGCUUGCCGAAGAGUGCUUCAAACGAAUUACUUGGCGCCAGAAAAUUCACCGACUUUUAUUCAGUAUACCACCCUCGAAUGAUUCUUCAUGAAAUCAAUUUUCUAGGAUAUAAAACGAACGAGAGACUAACAAAGUAAAAUUUGACAAGAAAUAAUACAUCAAAUGGACUGAAAACAUUUUAACCAAGGAGGAGAAAAUGCAUUACGCAUCGCCAUCAAUGCUGAUCGGUGGGAUAUGUGGGGGAUUCGCCAAAGGUGUUAAACGGCCUAUCCAUUAAAAAUCUCUCCUCAACUUUCUCUCCGAAAAGCAGAAUUUGCCUCCCUCCGGUUAGCCAACACGGCUAUUACAUAACAACCUUAAUUAUAACUAAAUAAAUUAUAUUUGACUUUUAAUAAUUAUUCUCAAUGUAUUACAA